AAUAAAAUAUAUAUUUUAUAAGCGUUAUUCAGUAGCAUAAUUAAGGGAAACUAGUGGGUUUUAGCCCCCCUGGAUCAUUCUAAGCCCCUCAAUUGUUUUUUUUAAAACACCUCUUUGGUUGCGCCACUUAUUAUUAUAUGAUUAGGCUCAAGCCCUUCCAAGGUUUAUGUCGUUUAUGAACUAAUUGGCGUUAUUGGUACUGGCAUUAUUUAAAAUUGGUUUUAACAUUGAGGUCGUUGCACGAGUCACGAUCAAACUUAAUUUCGUAACUUGUAGAUACAGAAUGGUACUCUUUUAAAUAAUUAAACCUACAAACUCUGUACUUAAUACGCCUUUAUGUCAUAUGGUUUCAAUUUCAAACUUUUUUUUAAUUUUUAUCUGAUUCGUAUUAUCCUGAUUAUCUGCCUGCCUAUCACCGGAAAUCGUUCAAUCGAUAAUAAUAAAUUAUUAAUAGUCACAGAAUAUGUUAGAAAACAGCAGAACACACAUUAACUUAUCUGUAUUUUAUAAAACCAAUGAAUUUAUGUUUACGUACCUAUACCAUAUUAAUAAUAUAUUAUACGACUCGUUCAUUCGUAUAGUCGUUUUUUAUUAUUAACCAUUAAUUUUAUAAACGUAUAGAAAUAUUACUAAUAAUUAGUAAACCAGCCUUCAAGGUUAAAUAUAAAAAAGUUAAUUUAAUUUUUGGAAAUUCGCCCCCCUUUGGGUGACUCCCGGAUCCAAUACUGAGCUAGUCAUCCUA